UACGUAGGGUGCGAGCGUUAAUCGGAAUUACUGGGCGUAAAGAGUGCGUAGGCGGUUUCUCAAGUCCGCUGUGAAAUCCCCGGGCUCAACCUGGGAAUGGCAGUGGAAACUAGGAGACUUGAAUCUGGCAGAGGGGGGUGGAAUUCCACGGUGUAGCAGUGAAAUGCGUAGAGAUGUGGAGGAACACCGAUGGCGAAGGCAGCCCCCUGGGCUAACACUGACGCCUCAUGCACGAAAGCGUGGG
rnacentral:rRNA from 1 species